AGAGUUUGAUCCUGGCUCAGAGUAACGCUGGCGGCGUGUUAGGCAUGCAUGUCGAGCGAUUUUGCUAUUAUGAGAAUGCCAACCUUCGGGGAGGCAAACGAGUAAUAACAAGAUAGCGGCAAACGGGUGAGUAACGCGUGGGUAACCUACCUUGAGUAGGAGCAUAGCUUCGCGAAAGCGGAGGUAAUACUCCAUAACAUCUCGAAUCUGAUGGUUCGAGAUCAAAGAUGGCCUAUGCCUUCGGGCAUGCUGUCACCUGAAGAAGGGCCCGCGUCCUAUCAGGUUGUUGGUAGGGUAAUGGCCUACCAAGCCUAAGACGGGUAGCUGGCGUAAGAGCGUGACCAGCCACAUCGGGACUGAGACACUGCCCGGACUCCUACGGGAGGCUGCAGUCGAGAAUCUUUCCCAAUGGACGAAGGUCUGAGGAUGCGACGCCGCGUGGAGGAUGAAGGCCUUCGGGUUGUAAACUCAUUUUAUUGAGGAGGAACGUUAUUAGGUUAAUAGCCUUUUAACUUGACUGUACUCGGUGAAAAGCCACCGGCUAACUCCGUGCCAGCAGCCGCGGUAAUACGGAGGUGGCAAGCGUUACUCGGUUUGACUGGGUGUAAAGGGUCCGCAGGCGGCCUUACAAGUGAAAGGUGAAAUCUUUCGGCUCAACCGAAAAACUGCCUUUCAAACUGUAAGGCUUGAGGAUGGAAGAGGAGAGUGGAACUGCCGGUGUAAAAGGUGAAAUUUGUGGAGAUCGGCAGGAACGCCAGUGGAGAAGUCGGCUCUCUGGUCCAUAUCUGACGCUCAGGGACGAAAGCUAGGGGAGCCAACAGGAUUAGAUACCCUGGUAGUCCUAGCUGUAAACGAUGGGCACUAGGUGUUCGUUCGUAAGAAUGGGUGCCGCAGUUAACACAUUAAGUGCCCCACCUGA
rnacentral:rRNA from 1 species